rnacentral:tRNA from 1 species
GGGGGUUUAGCUCAGUUGGUAGAGCGUCUGAUUUGCAUUCAGAAGGUGAGGAGUUCGACUCUCCUAACCUCCA